GCAAGAGGAGGAUUCCUAAAACUAAUAGAUUUGUAGAUGUAAAUUACAGCUCCAGUAGCUAUUAGCUGUUGAGGAGUUAGGUCUAUCUUUGCAAAUGCUAAUAUCAUCAAAGAAUGGAAGCAAGAGGUAGAGCAAUACCAAAGAAAAAUUCAGUUAUGUAUGAAGCCAA